rnacentral:rRNA from 1 species
UACAGAGGUCUCAAGCGUUGUUCGGAUUCAUUGGGCGUAAAGGGCGCGUAGGCGGAUCAUCAAGUCCGGGGUGAAAGCCUCCAGCUUAACUGGAGAAGUGCCUUGGAUACUGGUGAUCUCGAGGGAGGUAGGGGCAUGCGGAACUUCCGGUGGAGCGGUGAAAUGCGUAGAUAUCGGAAGGAACGCCGGUGGCGAAAGCGGCGUGCUGGACCUCUUCUGACGCUGAGGCGCGAAAGCCAGGGGAGCAAACGGG